AAACCAAAACAUAAAUGUUUUAACUAUGUUCUUUCAGUGAGAGUCAAUCAUCAAAAUGAACACAAAAGCCGCCAUUUGUCUGCUCCUUCCGUGCAUUAUCGCACUGGUUUCCUGUGCGUAUUACCCAGGAUACUCCGGAAUGGGAUACUCUGGAUACCAACAACCAAGACAGGUAGCUCCUUAUGCAGCAUAUGCUGCCAAUAGCUACCAGGGUCUGAAACAGGCUAAACUCUUCAACUACCUUCUUGGAGGUCUGUACUUCUUAAACCUCUUUAACGUCACUGGAAACAAAAUCGCUGGUUAGAAACAUUUUUCAUGAGCAUCAAUGGUUUACUAGCAGUACCCUACUUUUGGUCAUGCAGCCAUAGAAGUGCUGAAUUUCAGACAGUGUGCUACAGAUUUACCUCAAUUCGGAUGGCCUUAUGUAAAUUUUAUACCAUUAUAUGAAUUAUAUCAUAAAUUAUGUUGAACUAAAAGUUCAGAACUUGUGAAAACCGUUUUAAAAGAGUCUAUUAUCAGAUUAUAAUUUUUUUUUUCUGCAAACCCUUAAUUGUUUUUAAUGACUUGUUCGGUUCAGCAUUUUUAAGAUCUAAAAUUUUUUAUAAUUGUUAAUAAAACGUACGUAAAAGAAA